CCGGGACCCCGGCUCCCGCCGCGCCUCCCCCUGCCCCCCGAGGCUGCCUCCCGGUUCGGCAGAGGCCGCUCGGCAGGGGCAGGAGGCCCAGCGCCACGAAGGGGGCGGAACCAACCGAGCGGCGGCUGCUCCCCGCGGGCCCCGCUCUCGCUUCUCCUUCGCCGGGAAACGCGGCCCGGCCGCCCCGCGGCUCCCCUCUUCCUGCUCCUCGGCAGAGGCCGGCGGGCACCGAGCGCGGCCCCGAAACGCGCCGGCCCCCCUCAGCCGCAGAGCGAAGCAGAACGGACGAGCGAACGAGCGAGCGAGCAGGAAUUAGAGGAAACCAAAGUGAACAGGUAUUCAUUAGAUCUGAGAAUAAAAUUUCCUCUGACAUAUCAGUGUAAAGUUCAUAAACGGCCCAAGAGGAAAAAAAAAGAAAAACAUAAAUGUCAUCCCUGCCUAUAUAAUGCAAGUCAGGAGGAAGAUACCAAGGGAAAGAAUGAAUUUUUGAAAAGAUCGGAAAGUAGCAAAUGAAGAAUUUAAAAUACUCUUCUUAGGUUUCAACAACUAUAACAACUUCAUUUAGAAAAUCAGUUCCUUUUGCUAAAUGA
ensembl:lncRNA